AUGAUUAUUGGUGAUUUCAAUGAGAUCUCAAACAUGAGUGAGAAAGAAGGAGGGAAUGCUAGGCCUGAACAAUAUAUGAGAGAAUUCAGAGAUUGUAUUGAAGACUGUGGACUGCAUGAGGUCAUGUUCAUAGGUGAUGAGUUCACUUGGAGACGAGGGGAUAUUCGAGAGAGGCUGGAUAAAGCCCUUUGCAAUGACUUGUGGGCAGAGAAAUUCCCCCAUGCAGCUGUAGUGCAUGAGCAACACGUUCAUUCAGAUCAUAGGCCUGUUCUGCUGGACACAGAUUAUUAUAAAUCGGGGAUGGAACAACAGCGACGGAACCAUAAACGUAUGUUUGAAGCUCGGUGGUUAAAUGAAGAGACCGUGAAUGAGAUUAUUAACUCUACAUGGGAACGAGCUAAACUAGCCGGGUUGGGACCUUCUCUCGCGGUCAGGACUCGGUCUGUAUUGAAGGAUCUGCAUGAGUGGGAUCAAGAGAUACUAAAAAGCCCCAAAAAGAUGAUACACAAGCUGAGGAAAGACUUAGAGAAGCUUAAGAGAAGGCCGAAUACUAGUGAGAUUCGGUAG
rnacentral:rRNA from 1 species